rnacentral:rRNA from 1 species
AAUCCAUAGGUUAAUGAGGCGAACCGGGGGAACUGAAACAUCUAAGUACCCCGAGGAAAAGAAAUCAACCGAGAUUCCCCCAGUAGCGGCGAGCGAACGGGGAGGAGCCCAGAGCCUGAAUCAGCAUGUGUGUUAGUGGAAGCGUCUGGAAAGGCGCGCGAUACAGGGUGACAGCCCCGUACACAAAAGCGCAUGUGCUGUGAGCUCGAUGAGUAGGGCGGGACACGUGGUAUCCUGUCUGAAUAUGGGGGGACCAUCCUCCAAGGCUAAAUACUCCUGACUGACCGAUAGUGAACCAGUACCGUGAGGGAAAGGCGAAAAGAACCCCGGCGAGGGGAGUGAAAAAGAACCUGAAACCGUGUACGUACAAGCAGUGGGAGCACCCUUUGGGUGUGACUGCGUACCUUUUGUAUAAUGGGUCAGCGACUUAUAUUCUGUAGCAAGGUUAACCGAAUAGGGGAGCCGGAGGGAAACCGAGUCUUAACCGGGCGUUAAGUUGCAGGGUAUAGACCCGAAACCCGGUGAUCUAGCCAUGGGCAGGUUGAAGGUUGGGUAACACUAACUGGAGGACCGAACCGACUAAUGUUGAAAAAUUAGCGGAUGACCUGUGGCUGGGGGUGAAAGGCCAAUCAAACCGGGAGAUAGCUGGUUCUCCCCGAAAGCUAUUUAGGUAGCGCCUCGUGAAUUCAUCUCCGGGGGUAGAGCACUGUUUCGGCUAGGGGGCCAUCCCGGCUUACCAACCCGAUGCAAACUGCGAAUACCGGAGAAUGUUAUCACGGGAGACACACGGCGGGUGCUAACGUCCGUCGUGAAGAGGGAAACAACCCAGACCGCCAGCUAAGGUCCCAAAGUCAUGGUUAAGUGGGAAACGAUGUGGGAAGGCCCAGACAGCCAGGAUGUUGGCUUAGAAGCAGCCAUCAUUUAAAGAAAGCGUAAUAGCUCACUGGUCGAGUCGGCCUGCGCGGAAGAUGUAACGGGGCUAAACCAUGCACCGAAGCUG